UAAUUACUAAAGUAUUUCAGUAAAUUCUUAUCAUCCCCUUGAUUCAUUUGAUAUGUAAUUACUAAAGAAUUUCAGUAAUUACCAAAGAAUUACAAAACAUUUGAUAUGUAAAUUCUUAACAUUUGAUUCAUAAGUAAAUUUCAAUACACAAACAUAUCAUCUCCUUGAUUCAUAAAUAACAUAAAUACGUCAUCUACAAAUAACAUAUCAUCUCCUUUCUUAACAUGAUCAUCAUUCACAAAACACAAAAAUAUAAGUAACACAAAACACAAAAAUCCGAUUGGGAAUUGUCGGAAACCUCUUGACUUCAAUGAUGAGUUAAUCUAAACACAAAUAUCCAAUGUAUUCAAUUCGAAAUGGGUUUGUCCAAAACACUAAAAUUUAUGUCAUACUUGACACAAAAUUGCAUUCAUUGAAUUCGAAAUUGAUACGAACAAAUCUGAUCUCUCUAUAUAUAUAUAGCAAAACUCUAUCUAAUAAGUACUAAGUUGAAUUGAAAUCGAUAUUUCAUUGACAUGGUAAACUUGGUUUAACUACAUUCUUAAAUACCAACUAUCUAAUUGAAUGAGGAAUUCAUUUGCAAAGCUAGUUGGUCAACACCAUGAUCAUAUGAAAUAGUUAGUUAAAACAACCCCUUCAUUAUUAACCCCUUCAUUAUUAACACCAUGAUGAUAUGCAACCCCUUCAUUAUUAAAACAACACUGCAAGAAAUUGUCCGGAAAUAGUUAGUUAGGCCGACAAAAGAGUGGUUACUCUUGGUUUUGGACAGAAGAGAUCCGCAGGAAGAGCAAGUGGGGGAAUGGAAUGGAAUGGAAUGGAAUGGAAUGGAAUGGUCAAAUUAAAGAGGAAGGGGCAAAGGAAAAGUAGGAGGUAUUAGUAUCAUGCAUUCAUUGGAAGAUAGUAAAAAAAGAAACAUGUAGGUAGAUUGAAACAGUAGAGCUAAUCAAAUGUUAUGACAAGUUGAAAAGAACAAAAUAAUUUUAAGCUUGUAGGAUGCUGGAGAUGCAGUUCAUGAUGGCUUUUUAGAAAAAAA
rnacentral:lncRNA from 1 species